AGCCUCUCUCCUCCCUGGGAGCUCCGUGACCACGGUGCCCUGGGGUGAUCCCAAAUGCCAGGCCUGCCCAGCGCCCCUCACCUCUGGUGCCCAUGCCUUCCCAGCCGCAGCCUCCAGGGACGCACUUGGUCCCGGACAAAGACACUUGAGGUGCAAUCAGACACUGGCUCCCAGGAAGCUCCUUUUGUCCCGUGCUUCUGGGAGCAAAUGACCCAGAAAAACGUCUUGCCACUGACCCCUCUCUUCUCCAUUUCCAGGCUUCCUACGACCAGAGACCAUCCUGGUUCCUUGCCCACAGACCGCUCUGGGGACUGUUGUGACAACCUUCCGCUCGCCCCCGCCCCCGCCCCCUCCUACACUUCACUGCCCGGAGAUUUUACCCAGAGAAGGAAUAGAGGGAAACAAGAUUUGACCCAGAAAAAGAUGGCCCUGACUGAGGCCCCGAUGAUGACUGGACAGCCGGGCCCUGGUCAUGGGAGGAAGCUGGGCCAUCGGGGUGUGGACGCAUCUGGCGAAACCACUUACAAAAAGACCACGUCUUCCACCCUGAAGGGGGCCAUCCAGCUGGGCAUUGGCUACACUGUGGGCAACCUGAGCUCCAAGCCAGAGCGCGAUGUGCUCAUGCAGGACUUCUACGUGGUGGAGAGCAUCUUCUUCCCCAGCGAGGGCAGCAACCUCACGCCCGCCCACCACUUUCAGGACUUCAGGUUCAAGACCUACGCACCUGUCGCCUUCCGCUACUUCCGGGAACUCUUUGGGAUCCGGCCAGAUGAUUACUUGUACUCGCUGUGCAACGAGCCCCUGAUUGAGCUCUCCAACCCCGGCGCCAGCGGCUCCCUCUUCUACGUCACCAGCGACGACGAGUUCAUUAUCAAGACCGUGAUGCACAAGGAGGCGGAGUUCCUGCAGAAGCUGCUGCCCGGCUACUACAUGAACCUCAACCAGAACCCGCGGACGCUGCUGCCCAAGUUCUACGGGCUGUACUGCGUGCAGUCGGGGGGCAAGAACAUCCGCGUGGUGGUCAUGAACAACAUCCUGCCGCGCAUGGUCAAGAUGCACCUCAAGUUCGACCUCAAGGGCUCCACGUACAAGCGGCGGGCCAGCAAGAAGGAACGGGAGAAGAGCAGCCCCACCUACAAGGACUUGGACUUCAUCCAGGACAUGCCAGAGGGGCUCCUGCUCGACGCGGACACCUUCUCUGCGCUCGUCAAGACGCUGCAGCGGGACUGUCUGGUGCUAGAGAGCUUCAAGAUCAUGGACUACAGCCUGCUUCUGGGUGUGCAUAACAUCGACCAGCAGGAGCGGGAGCGGCAGGCCGAGGGUGCCCAGAGCACGGCGGAUGAAAAGCGGCCGCUGGGCCAGAAGGCGCUUUACUCCACAGCCAUGGAAUCCAUCCAGGGCGGCGCCGCGUGUGGGGAGGCCAUCGAAACAGAUGACACGAUGGGUGGGAUCCCUGCUGUGAACGGCCGAGGGGAGCGCCUGCUUCUGCACAUUGGAAUCAUCGACAUCCUGCAGUCCUAUAGGUUCAUUAAGAAGCUGGAACAUACCUGGAAGGCUCUUGUCCACGAUGGGGAUACCGUCUCUGUCCACCGGCCCAGCUUCUAUGCCGAGCGUUUCUUCAAGUUCAUGAGCAACACGGUUUUUCGGAAGAACUCCUCCCUGAAGUCGUCACCAUCCAAGAAGGGCCGUGGUGCCCUGUUGGCCGUCAAACCCCUCGGGCCUACAGCUGCCUUCUCAGCCAGCCAAAUCCCCAGUGAGCGGGAAGACGCCCAGUAUGACCUGCGGGGGGCCCGCAGCUACCCCACGCUGGAGGAUGAAGGUCGGCCCGACCUCCUGCCCUGCACCCCACCUUCUUUUGAGGAGGCCACCACGGCAUCUAUCGCCACGACCCUGUCUUCCACGUCCCUCUCCAUCCCAGAGCGGUCCCCCUCAGAGACCUCAGAGCAGCCAAGGCGGCGCACACAGUCCUCAGGACAGGACGGCCGGCCCCAGGAGGAGGCACGCGUGGAGGAGGACCUGCAGCAGAUCACGGUGCAGGUGGAGCCCACGUGCAGUGUAGAAAUAGUAGUCCCCAAGGAGGAGGAAGAGGGGGUGGAAGCUUCCCCGUCCUGUGCCUCUGCUGCUGUCGUCGAAGUAGAAACCGCCAGCCAGGCCUCAGAGCCUGCCAGCCAGGCCUCGGACGAGGAGGACGCACCCGCCGCUGACAUCUACUUUGGCAAGGGGAGCUCGGGGCUGCUCACUGCCUUGGUCCUGGCACCUGCCCUCCAAAUCUCCAGGCCUCGGGACAGUGUGGUUCGCGGACGGGAGGUACUGGACUUACUCUCCCCGGCAUCACCGACUGCGGGCCAUGACGCUGAGCUCCUCGGGGACUCCCACCGAUGAGAGGAGCUGGGUGUACUCCCCACUCCACUAUAGCGCACAGGCCCACUCAGCCUCCGACGGCGAGAGCGACACAUAAUUUCUAUGCAGUCAUCAACCCACAGGAAUGGAGCACACACUCGGCUAGCCCAGCUCGGCCCAGAGCACAGGAGGUGCCACCUGGCUGCCACUGGAUGUUGCUCGCUCACGUCCUCCCCUUGGCGACGGUCACUGACACUCCGGGCUGCAGCGCGAUUGCCCCCGGCUCCGUCACCCACCUGCGCCUGUGAUACUGUGAACCUCCCUGAGUCUCCAAUCACAUAUUUAUUUUGGGUCCUUACUCUUCGCACGCAGACGACAGCACGUGAGUGCUGUUUUGGGGAAAAGAAAAGAAAAGAACAGCGGAAAAAGAAGCAGCUCCAUUCUAAGCACUUUUUAGUUCUUUGCUACGCUUGCAUGCGUCUCACUGAGGGCAUAAGACCUAUCUGUUGCAGACCCCUCUCUGACUGUCUGCAGGCGCCGCCCGGCUCCACCUUUGUCUCGGAUGGGGCACCUAGGAGGGCAGAGCCACCAGACCCACCCUGGUCCCCGGGGCACCUCUGGAGGCCACCCACUCAGCAGCUGCUCUUGGCUCAGGUCUGUGAGCUGGACUCCUGUCCUCGGGGGAAGCCAACUGGUGGUCCAGGAGUGGCUCGCCACCCUGCUGACCCCUCAAUCUCUCAGCAUCUGUUUCCCACCAUGCCCUCCUCCCAGGCGACUUGAGGGCAGAAGUAGCCAGCCAGUGACGAGAAUGCAGACAUAGGACUGCCCCUCUUGGUGGAGCUCAGGGCUGUCGGCAUGUCUCUCAUCCACACGGACUGCUCAGUGUCUGGAAGACAGGGCCCAGGUGAUGGAGACAGCCUUUCAAAGCAGGCUUUCCAGAACAUCCGACUCUGAGAGGAAGCACCUGGGCCCUCAGCCACAGGACUCCCGGAGAGCUCGUGUCCUGGAGCAGGGGCCCUCCCCCGUGCAGGGACAGGGCCCAGGGAGCCAGACUGUCCUGCAAGAGUUCCCCCGGACUGGGGUGGGAAGCCUCUCUCAUUUUUCCAUGACGACGAUGCCUGCACUGACUAAGGAUAGAGGAAGAAAUUCUUCAUGGAAAACAAGACCUUUUUUGUCAUCUUCAGCAGGGGCAGCCAUUCCUGGGCUCAGAGCUCCGGUGAGUGGCCACCAGGUUACCCUGCUGUGUCCAGAGAGGGCUGCUGGGACCAACAGCUUUGCAGGGCUUCUCCCUCCCCCACCUAGACACACUCGCACCGCGUGAGGUGAGCAGUGAUGGCUGCCCCUCUGCGCUCUGCAGACCCACACCGACUCGGUCCCACAUGGGAGGAGCUGGGGACUGACUCAGAGCAAAGCCACACCUUUUGGAAGAAUUUCUCCCCAGCCCCUGCCUCCCUGGUGGAGCCUGAGACAGCCAGACAACCCGCCGAUCCAGGAAUCUGAUUUCUCAGUUCUUGCAGCUGUGUAAGCUGUUGCUCCUCUCUGCCAUGCAGGUCCCUUGUCCCACCGCGGACAGCCUGCUGUGGGGAACCUGCUAGUCUGGCUCUUCUCCGGAGGAUGAGGCUGCACCCCAAGGGCUGUCCUCUCACUGUCAAUAUGGGAGCAGCACCCCAGUUCUGAGCAGGGCCAUGGGGGAUACUCCAUACAGCCUGGGGAAAGGCAUCCUCAGAGGACCCAUCAGAAUAAGCUUGCAGGUGGCUCAAACAAGAAGCAAAAACAGCAUCCUCUCUCUUCUGCCCAAGGAGUAUUUGUCCAGACCCUGGGGAGCACCCUCAUCUGGACUGCAGACUGGUGCCUGUCUGCAGGCACCGUGGCCACGUGCCACGAGUCUCCAGUCUGUCCCUGACCAGUCCCACCAAGAGGGAAGGCAGGCAGAGCUCAGAAGGCACACAUCAGACCUGGAAGAUUAACAGGGACUGUUGUAUCACCCAAAUGCCAACGUGAGAGUCCUCACGCAGGCCCCUAGAGACCUGGCCCCAGAGAUGUCCUGAGCCCUGGUGGAGAUGACCAGCGCAGUAGCCCAGUCCUGGAGCAGUGGGCUCUGCGUCCAGGGUGUUCUUGGCUGGGGUAUCUGGAGCUAUAGGAGCCAGGAGGGGAGCUGCCUGCGUGGCCCCAUGAGGUCCCUGGUCCCUGCUGGGUCCCUUGGGCUUUCCUGAGUGAAUCACAGGACAAAUGUGCUGGUCAGAUGCUGACUCAUAGGAGUAAUUCACAAACCUUCUGGAUAUGACAUUUCUUUUUUUGUUUUAAGUCAGAAAGACCCUUUUGGAGACCCGUUUUGUGUUGUAUUAUUUGUCCCAGGACUGGGCAGGGGAGCAGGAAGGCAAGACCUUAUUUAUAACUGUGUACUGAACUCAUGGCCUUCCUCAUACCCCUGACCAGGAAGGCCCUGGACCCACCCAGCUGUCACCCUGCCCUGCCCCUCCCCCCCACAGUCCUCCAGAUGGAAAUCUGUAAAUUGCCCUGUUUCCCUCCUGGCUCAUUUCUGAUGGCCGCUGUCACUGAGAAUGUGAGCAGUGUCUGAUUUGCUGUACUGUAAAAACAAAAGGCAUUUCCCAAGGCUGACAAGGGGGAGCCUUCUGUGAGUCCCCUGCCAGCCUCCUCUCGACCCCUUUGCCUCCACCACCUGGCUCAGUGCAAUACUCCCAUCCCUGAUGGGGUCUCUUGCCAUGGUACUGUCGCCGCAGCCCCUCGGUCCCCAUCCCAACUUUGUUUUUAUGGCUGAACUGAUUUCAAAACACAUUGUAACUGCAAACCUUGUGUGUCUUAAUUCUCACUGGGGCUUCCACGUGCUCAGCCCCGGGUCUAGUAUGUGACAAUCCGGAGUGCAGCCUCCUGUAGGCGCCUCUGUAACCUUGCAGCCGCUGCUGGCCCUGAUAACACUCGUAUGCAGCCCCGGGCCCCGCCCCUGCCUCCCCUUCCUCUUUUUAUGUUGAAAGAUCUCUCUAAUAAAUUGGGUAAUAAGCAUCCGC